UGUUGCUGAAGCCAAAAGGAUUGAAUUUGUUGAUGUUUAUUUUGGUAUUUGCGCUAUCAGAAGGAAACCGUAAGAAUUAUCUGUCACCUAACAUACAAAUAUGUUUAUAAUAUUCCAACAAUGUGUCAAUGUCGAUGUAAUUUUUAAAUAUCUAAGUUUGAAGUUAUUUAUUAUCAGCUAUUUAUUUAAAUUUUAUGCCUUAUAGAAAAUCAUAGUAAAAUUGGAUUUGACCACAACUUCUACUAUGGCUCUGAGGGUGAAAGUGCAGAAAUUUGCCUUGUAAUUGAAAGAUACGUGCAGCGCAUUACUGGAGUGUAAGGACAUAUUUUAAUUUGCCUAUUUGUUAUGACGUAACAUGAUUUGCCUAGCCGACCAAGCAAACCCUCAGUAUACGAUCGAGGAUUAUUAGCUGGGACUAUUAAAUAAAACUUAAGUUUUGUGUUGCAGUUAAUGUUAAUGCUGUGUUAUUACUAUACAUGCAUGCUAUUGUAUAAUUAGCCUAUAAUACAACAUUUACAUCAAUCAUUUGGACAAUAUCCAAUUACUAAAAUAUUUCAUUUUGUGAAGGCACAAAGUUUUGUUGAUAAAUAACAUUAUGUUCUGAUAUGUUAAGGAUAACCACUGCGGAUGGGACAGCAAGAAGUGGAGUGGAUUACAACAAUACUGUGCUGCCAGUUAACAUCACGAUAAAUUCUUCAGAACCAGUGUGCUAUACUAUAAACUUACCAGAUGAUGAUGAUUCUGAAGUAC